rnacentral:SRP_RNA from 1 species
CUGUGGCCAGUGGCAGUGCGUUCGGAAGCGGCGACUUGCUUCGCCGCUUGCCCGGCCACGGGAAGGCCGUCCUUCCCGGAGAAGAGAAGGCGCUUCUUCGAGCAUC